CUAUACACUUACUAAAAUUGUGAAAAUUGGAACUAUACAGAAAAGAUUUGCAUGGCCUGUAUGUAAGAAGGACACGCACAAUCGUGAAGCAUUCCACAUUUUU